CAACUCUGUGCCCUCGUUCGCCGCCGCCGCCCUUCGUCCCCUCACCACCACCGCUAGAUCCCUUCGCCACCGCUCGGUGCCGCCAGGCCCCGACCUCCUCCCCGGCUCCCGGCGCCGCCCGCCCCCCAUCUGCUCCCCCGAUCCCAGCUAAGCCCGGCCCCACCUUCUCUCUCACUCUUGGCGGCGAUCCCCGUGGUGUCCCCGGACCGGAGGCCGUCGAGGAUGUAGAGCGCCGGGAGCGCGGCGCCGACGAGGAACCCCCCAUGAUGUGCGCGGCAAGGAGGAGGCGCUCGGGGCCGAGGAAGACGGGCGCGGACGGGUUGGGCUUCCUGGGCGCUGCGGGAAGGUGAGCCUGGCUAGGAGGAGUAGGUAGGGAAAGGACGGCGACUCGCCGGCAGGUCACCGGCGCCGGGAGGCGGUGAGGUCGUCUCUCUCGCUCGCCUCUCCCCUUCUCCCCAUCUCGCAUCUCCUUCUUGCACUGUCGGUGCUGCCGUCCAGUACGUGCCGCGGCGAUCCCCAUGAUGCGCUGGCCAUCUGAACCAGAUCGACGCCAACGAGAAGUCUCUAAUGUCCCGUGCGGCGGCCAUGGGUCCAUCUUAAGUCGGCGGCGAGCUAUGGUGAGGUACACAUGGCGCUGAUGGAUGCACUGUACAGGGGCGCCGCCGCCACUGAGCUGGCCACCGGCUUUUGCCUGCCGUGCUGCCGCGACGGGCACUCCCUCCUCGGCUUUGUCAGGGUCCUCCUGCCCUGCGUUUAUGUGCUGCUCCUCGUCAUCAUCUCCGUGGGCAAUGCCCUUGAACCCCAUUCUCCAACCAUCUGGCAGCAUGCUGGACGUCGUCCUCCUCGACGCGGCCGUCCCCGACGAGCUCUCUUUGUCGGAGAAGGUGGGGCAGCAAGGCAUCCUAUCCUCCAGCGCGUGGACCGACGGCUGAGUCCUCCUGCUCUCCUAGCGUGGACAUUUAUCCGCACUGAUUGUUUCCACGACAGUAAACUAUAUGUAUAUCUAGGAUAUGAUGGAAGCGUGCAGUAGCAUGAGAGGUCUUUCCUAAUUCUAGGACAAGAUGUGAAGCUUGUAUCUGAUUUAUAAGGUCUGAACACCAUGGCAAUCUCAAUCUUGUUCGGCAUCCAAUGGCUCCUAAUUCUUUUACAACGGCUCUGCUCGGGAUUUGUGUCGAUGACGUCCAUUGACAAAGUGGUUCCAAGAGGUAGAGAGGCUGGUGCGGGACGUUGUGGAGAGUGACGUCAAAUGGGGGUCUGUCCGGGCAUCACUGCUGCUAGAGCUGCAGCGCCGGUACACGGAGAUCAACGGGAAGAGGGCCAUCAACGAGACCCGCAUGAGCCUCAUGGAGGAGGACCCAUAUGUACUAACAUACACAAGAUGACAGAGAAGUUCUCCGCUCUUCAGCUCAAAGUGAAGGAGGUGGAUGCAUUGCAGAAUCACUCCUCCAACAGGUGAACUAAUUAAUUUGCAUUGUCUUCUUUUUGAACUUAUUUCUGAAAGCAGUUUCUGAACUCUGAAAUUGUGUGACUAAUGCUGAAGUGAUCUGUUGUGUUAACUCCUUUUGAAUCUCUUGAUUCUUUUGAUUCUCUUAAAUCAUUGCAAUCUCUUGACCCGAGGGCUGCCGAUGAGUCUCCGCGGCGGAUAUCCCCCAAAAAAGAUAAAGAAACAGAUCCCCAUGGAGAUUCCCUCACUGCACGGAAGUUUUCUUGGACGGCGACCUCACUACCCAGCCGGUAGCAGCGUCGCCUUCCUGGUAGGCACCCGGCGGAUGGGUUCCUGGUGGACCGUCCCGUGCAGUCCGAUGACUGCGUGGCCGCGCUCAUCCAGACGGAGAUGGAGCACAUGCCCGUGGACGGGUACCCCCAGAUGCUGCGGCGGCUCGGGGCCUUGUAUUUGGCCGCCAUCACGAGGGACACCAUAGAUAGGACCUGGAAGGUUCCUCUCGGUAGCAACUGAAGCAACCCUGCUAAAAUCCCAUAAAGUACUUGUUGGAAUCAUGGAGAAAUUGGUUUCUCAUGGCUUGCUUGUGUGACAUAGCUCUUGGCAGUGACUUGCUUCUGUCUCGCUCGUGGACCAGCAGGUCAGUGACUGAUGCAUCUCAUCUCAUGAAAGACCUCCUCAUACACCGUUGAGGGGUUCUGUCUUCUCAGUUUUGUCUCAAUUAAUCGACGGUUUUUGCUUGACACACGAUUGAGGCAAAGUCUGUGUUUGAGGCAAGGACAAUAAAAAUGAUGGAGCUUUUGGUGCUCAGCACCUUGAAAUGGAGGAUGCAAGUUGUUACUGCUUGCUCAUUUAUUGGCUACUUCCUUUGCAAAUUCAAUGAUCAUGACACACCCUCCAUGCUCGCAUUCUCCCACUCGAACCUCAACCCGAGCACAGCUAAGUGAGCUGAUUUUUUGGUGUUCAGACCUUCCGAGAUUGCUGGAAGUGUUGCACCUGCUUCAUUUGGGGAGCGCAGUACUUCAGUGGUCGAAAGGGGUACAACUAAUUGCAAGUAUAUAAACAAGGAGCGAGUGUUAAGAUGCUACGAUGGAGCCAUGGAGGCACUGGCCCUCUUCAAGUCCUACUUUAGUGCAACGGUGCAGAGACUAUGCACUUCGGUUAUCCUCAUAAUCCCAGUACCAUAAAUUUUGAAGUUAAAUAUAACCCAGGAAGGCGUACGGUCACCAUUUUCCUCCAAGGUCAGAGAUAUAUGAAAAAUGAAGUUGGUUGUAUUGGAUAUACAAAAAAUAAAUAUGUAUGUUCCUAUUUAUUUUCUAGGUAAGUGACCAAAUCAUAUUUCCUUUUAUCUGUACUAAUAGAAUUUAGAUAAGCCUGUGCUAAAUGCGACCCUUGUAAGUGCGAUCUUCGAAGUUACGGGCGUUGUUGGAUGGAGAAGAGCGGGUCUUGUGUUAGGCUUCAGCUGUAUCCGAGAAAAAGCGUAGCACCAACUUUUAUAAUGGUCCUAGGUUCCUAUCAGAGCAAUACCAUCAUCCUGCAUACAUUUUAAAAUGCAUUUAAGUUCUAUUACAUAUUGUACACGUACCAACAUGCUUUCCUCUGUUUUCAUUUCUUUGUUGUCCUUAAUGUCAUCUCUUUUUUUACUUUCAUUUAGCAAGUGAAGUAACAACAAUAACUAAUAGGUUCUCCUCGCAUGUUAGGUUUUCUUGGACAUUGUUGAGAGCGUAAACCUUCUUAUGUCUUCUAAAGGGAUUUUA